UAGAAUCAUAGAAUCAUAGAGUUGGAAGAGACCACAAGGGCCAUCGAGUCCAACCCCCUGCCAAGCAGGAAACACCAUCAGAGCCCUCCUGACAGAUGGUUGUCAAGCCUCUGCUUAAAGACCUCCAAAGAAGGAGACUCCACCACACUCCUUGGCAGCAAAUUCCACUGUUGAACAGCUCUUACUGUCAGGAAGUUCUUCCUAAUGUUUAGGUGGAAUCUUCUUUCUUGUAGUUUGGAUCCAUUGCUCCGUGUCCGCUUCUCUGGAGCAGCAGAAAACAACCUUUCUCCCUCCUCUAUGUGACAUCCUUUGAUAUAUUUGAACAUGGCUAUCAUAUCACCCCUUAACCUCCUCUUCUCCAGGCUAAACAUGCCCAGCUCCCUUAGCCGUUCCUCAUAAGGCAUCGUUUCCAGGCCUUUGACCAUUUUGGUUGCCCUCCUCUGGACACGUUCCAGUUUGUCAGUGUCCUUCUUGAACUGUGGUGCCCAGAACUGGACACAGUACUCCAGGUGAGGUCUGACCAGAGCAGAAUACAGUGGCACUAUUACUUCCCUUGAUCUAGAUGCUAUACUCCUAUUGAUGCAGCCCAGAAUUGCAUUGGCUUUUUUAGCUGCCGCGUCACACUGUUGGCUCAUGUCAAGUUUGUGGUCAACCAAGACUCCUAGAUCCUUUUCACAUGUACUGCUCUCAAGCCAAGUGUCACCCAUCUUGUAUUUGUGCCUCUCAUUUCUUUUGCCCAAGUGCAAUACUUUACAUUUCUCCCUGUUAAAAUUCAUCUUGUUUGUUUUGGCCCAGUUCUCUAAUCUGUCAAGGUCAUUUUGAAGUGUGAUCCUGUCCUCUGGGGUGUUAGCCACCCCUCCCAGUUUGGUGUCAUCUGCAAAUUUGAUCAGGAUGCCCUUGAGUCCAUCAUCCAAGUCGUUGAUAAAGAUGUUUAAUAAGACCGGGCCCAAGACAGAACCCUGUGGCACCCCACUAGUCACUCUUCUCCAGGAUGAAGAGGAACCAUUGAUGAGCACCCUUUGGGUUCAGUCAGUCAGCCAGUUACAAAUCCACUGAGUGGUAGCAUAGUCAAGACCGCAUUUUACCAGCUUCUUUACAAGAAUAUCAUGGGGCACCUUGUCAGAUGCCUUGCUGAAAUCAAGGUAGACUACAUCCACUGUGUUCCCUUCAUCUACCAGGCUUAUAAUUCUGUCAAAAAACGAGAUCAGGUUAGUCUGACAUGACUUAUUUUUCAGAAAUCCAUGCUGACUAUUGGUGAUCACAGCAUUCCUUUCUAGGUGCUCACAGACUGUUUGCUUAAUGAUCUGCUCCAGAAUCUUCCCUGGUAUUGAUGUCAGACUGACUGGGCGGUAAUUAUUUGGGUCCUCUCUUUUC